AGGUCAAACCACAUGUGGUAUAGUCUGUCUCUGUUAACAGAAACCAGAACUCGAUUCACACACGUCUCUUCCUGGCUCAUUACAAAGGAAAUGCAAUUAGCUGAGACCUAAAGCAAGCAAAACAGGGGAUUGUUGUUUCCACAUGGAGUCUAUCAGCAAACAGGAAGUGAAAAUCAAAUCAAAACCCCUAAAUGAGGAACUGCAAUCAUUUACCUUGUUUUCACUGGCUUAAUGCAACCAUAUGCAUUUGUCAAGAAAUGAGGCGAUUUAAACGCAGCUUUCCCUGCAAUGCAUGAAAUAGCAAAGAGUUACCGAUUCACCGGAUGAUGUUUUAUUUUCCCAAUUGGGAAUGUCAGGUCUGGAAGGCCCUCCCCAGAUGCAGAACAAGCUUUUCCUCACACGAAAGGAUGCAAGUUGACGGUUUCAAUUAUGCAAUACAAACAGACAUGGUGGGCUGGAGUAAGAAAAUCCUAUGGAACUCUAGCCGGCUACCGAGGCUGAAUAAUCAAGCUUUGGACUUUAUUGUGGCAAAUGCCUUUCUGCGACACGAUGGCGCAGUGGUAGAGUUGCUGCCUUGCAGCACCAGGGUUCAAUCUCGACCAAGGGCGCUGUCUGUAUGGAGUUUGUACGUUCUCCCCGUUACCGCGUGGGUUUACUCCAGGAUCGUCGGUUUCCACCACACUCCAAAGACGUACAGGUGGGCAGCGAGCCCAGGGGAGCAGCUGGGUCUGCCUCAGCUCCACGUACUCGUAGGGGAUUGAAGAAUUGGCCGCACUCCCGAAGCUGAGCCGCACGAGAAAAGUCACUGUAAUCCCGUGACCCGACUAGUUCACCCUCCUCUCAUGUCACAGCCUCCUUGGGAGAUUACCAGUUCCAACUGAGCGAUGUUACUCAACUGAAGGGGCUGAUGGACGAUGACAUGUAUAAAAACUCUCGCUUCUCCUUCUCCGCCAUCACUGAUUUGUGCAACAAUCCAUCCCUCCUCGACUCCUUCAGAUCCGUUUGUUCCAAGACCGAUGCUCCUUAUGUCUUUCUCUUGCUGAAACAGAUUGCUGCGAACCCGUACUCUUGUGAAAUCUGCGCAUUUUCUUCCUGCGUUGGCUGCACUUCUUCGGGCCCGAAGGUGUAAUGCAGCUUCAAUAUCGGCACGUAACCAACAGGACAUUAACCGGAAAAGCAUCUUGUCUUAAAUUCUUUAAUGAGCCAGUUUUGUCACUAGAUGUACUUAGAGCUAUGAAUUGUCAUCAGCAGUGUGUGAAUGAUACCUGGUCCACAUUGACUAAGACCAGAUCAACAUUGCACAAGCAAAAGCAUCCCUUUAAGGACCCAGUAACAAUAGAGCACCAUUCUAUUUUUAACCUCCACGAACUUAUGGAAGUUAUUGUUGGAGGAAUAUAAUCUUGUCCCUGUAUAUUUUCAAAAAUGUAAUGGGGGUCUAAUUGCUAACCACAGUUUGUAAUUGUAGAGUCAUGGAGUCAUACAGUGCUGAAGCAGGUUAGAACAUAAAACAUUUAAAUGCACAGCACAGAAGCACAUCUUCCACUUUGUCCAUCGAGUACCAAUCUACAUUUACUAGCUUAUUCUCAAAGUGCCAUUUACUAGCACAUUAUCCAAUACCUCCUAUGCCUUGGGAAUUCAAGUGCUCAUCUAGAUAGUUUUUAGAUCUUAUGAGAGUACCUACCUCCUCCACACACUUCAGCAGUGAAUGUCACCGUCCACCCAACUUCUGGAAGAAGUUCUUUCUCGCAUCCCUUCCAAACCUCUUACCCUUACUCUAAAUCAUUGCCUUUAGAUUGCAUUGCUAUGGGAACGCAUUUCUUACUAUCUACAUUAUCGCAUUGUGAAUUGUUCCCAAUCAGGAACCCCUCAGCCUCUCUGCUCCAAGGAAAACAAUCCCAUUCUAUCCAGUCUUUCCCCAUAACUGAGAUGUCCCAUCCCUGACAAUAUCCUGCUGAAUCUUCGCUGCAUCCUUUCCUAUAAAACUCCCAGGAACUGUUCACCGUACACCAGCUGUGCCCAAACCAAUCUUUCAUAAGUUGACCAUAACCCACCCGCUCUUACAGUCGGCACUCUGGCUAGGGUGGCAAGAAUCCCAUGUGUACGUGCAUAGAUAAAAGGGACACGAGGAGCAAGCUUUUCACACAGGGUAUGGUGAAUAUGUGGGAUGAACUGCUAGGGGAAGCUGCAGAGGUGGGUACAAUUACAAUGUCUAAAAGAUGUUUGGAUAGGUACAUGGAUGGACAAGGUUUAGAGGGAUAUGGACCAAGCCCAGGUGAAUGGGACUAGCUUGGAUAGAUCUUCUCUGGUAUGGACGAUUUGGGCUGAAGGGCCUGUUCCUGGGUUUUGUGAAUCUCUGAUUUUACUGAAGUCAAUUCACAAUACAACAAAAUAAUCAUUGAUAUCCUCUGAAUAUGAAGGAGGCAUUUAUUUGCUACCAAUAAAUCUAAGCAAUUAUUAAUAAUAAAUUAUUUUCAAAGUAUAGAAUGGGGUAACCCUCAUAUUUCCCUCCGUCUCAAUCUUGUUAAUCAAUGAGAUUAUCUUCUCUAUUGUCAAAACAUUGUGUGCACUCUCUCUUUUAUGUCAUUACAAUGCCUCAGUGGAAGAGCUCAGUACAACUAAAAAUUAAUUGAAAUAUCAUCCACCUUUCGUAUGAUGUAGUGGAUUAGUAGACAGACUGUGGCAUGCAGUGUUUCCGAUGACUCAGUUUAUGAGGGAAAGCUCCUCACACCUUUUGUCUCUUAAUUGACAAGAACUGCUGCAAAUUAAGAAUUUCAAUAAAACGCUCUUGACUGUUGACUCUAGAUCUCACCUCGCCCGAUCAAUGACAAUAUUAAACGACACCAGAAAAUCCUGUAGGUUUUCUUUAUCUAGUGGAUGUAUAGCUGAUUAAUACAAUAAAAGAGAAAAGCUGCCCUAUGGCAUAGUCUGGAAUGUACUGUGUUAAGGACCUGUCCCACUUGGGCGUCUUUUGCGCAUCACGCAGAUGGCGUGCAAAGAUUUUGUACAUCCCAAAAUCCUGGGGCGCCUCGCGUGACAGCGCGUGACUGCCUAGGUCACCACGCACCAUGCGCGCGUAAUACGCACCAUGCGCGCACCACGUGUGCGUCAUGACGUGCGCGUCGUGAUGCGUAAAUGAUGUCGUGUAAAUGAUGUUGUGAUAACACCCAAGUGGCCCUUAAGGUGUAUACCUGUACAAGUACUUGGAGACUGUGGGAAUGAUGUUUUUAUAUGGGCGACAAAAUAAAGAAUGUUUAAGAAUGAUGAAAUGUCUUUGGUCUGUGCCUUUCUCAUGCUCAAAUUGCAACUACGUGAUUUUAUACUAGGUUUCCUAUUGG